UCAUUUCUGAGCAAUGGCGCUAUGGCGUUGGUUAGUUGUAAAUAUUGUAAGGUUAGAGAAGAAUAUUACAAGAUUGAAGGCACAGAGGAAGAUAGAAUUUUGCCCACACCAUCUACAGUGAUUUCACCCAUCCAAGGAUAUGUUGGUCCCGAAAAUCCAUACCACUCGGUAUAUAUGAUGCCUCCAAAUACGUAUCCAAAUCUAUAUUUGUAUAAUUGGGAUAGCCAGCAUCCGCCAACUAUUUCCUAUCCUCCAUUGAGUAAUCCGGAAGAGUUUAGAUGAUUUCAAGAGACUACCCAGCAUCCUCCAACUAUGUCCUACCCUCCGUCGAGUAAUCCGGAGUGAUUCCAAGAGACCCCCCAACUGUGCCUAAUGAAAGUGAAAAGAAUGUUCCAAGCAUAUCACACAUGAAUGCUUUGGAGGUGGAGGGGAGUAAUGAAGUAUCGAAUGCGGAUGAGACUAAUGAAGAAUUAGAGGCUGAGGAGACUAAUGAAGUAUCGCAUGAUGAUGAUGAUGAAUGAGUUGAAGAGUCGAAAUCUGAUGUGUUGGUACUGAUCAUGUAUAACUGAAGAAGACAUGAAUGCAAGUUUGAUGUGUCAUUACAUGGAGGAUGUACUGGUUUUGGAGCAUUUUUUUUGUUGGAAAGUUUGUACCAAUGUUUUGGUUGUGCAGUUCUGGGGGAGUUGGUACCAUUGUGUAGAUGAUUGUUUGGUUGUGAAUAUUUGGAGUGUUGUAGGAAAAAAAAAAGUCUCAAACUCCAUAUUGUGUAGAUGAUUGUUUGUUGUGAAUGGAAGGGAAUGAACUUUGUAUAA